CCCCCUCUCCCCUCCAGCAGCCGACGCCCCUCCCUCACCGUCGACGACCCACACCGCUGCCGCACACUACCGCGCCCUCCCCUCACCCUGGCCCAAUUCAAUCCAACCCCGUGCGCACACCGCUCCGCCGCCAUCGACCCCUUCCUCCCUACCCUCCCUCGCACCCAUGGCGUAUGCGCUCAAGGCCUCCACCUCCCCCGCCCUCGCCACUACCUCCUCGGUGAUGUUCCCCUCCUUCUCAGCUGCCUCCGCGGCGCCGAGGGGCCGCACCGCCGCGGCCAGGAGAGUCUCGCUCCGCAGGGCCGCACCCGCGACCUGCUACCCCGUGCCCGCGCCAACUCCAGCAGUUGGCUCGCUCGCUUGCUGCUGCAGGUGAGUGCUGGUGGAGCUCGAAUUGGGGAGGAGGAAGGUUGCAGAUCCGGCGGGCGAGGAGGCGAGCCGUGGGUUGCAAGAAGGCGAUGGUGGUGUGCGCGCUCGUCGGCUUCCUCGGCGUCCUCUCCGCCGUGCUUGGCUUCGCUGCCGAGGGCACCCGCGUUAAGGCGAUUUUGACAUCAUCAAUGCAACACCAGCUGUACAAAAUAACUAAAAAUUCCCAGGUGUACCCUGUUCAAAGUAUGCUGCAUAUCAGCACAUGCUAAUGGUUAAUGUGCAUGCUCAACCAGAAAUCAGAAUUGCCUCUGGAUUUCUGAUGGCAGUGGUGCACAUCCCGCGCCAGUUCAAGGUGCCAGACUGGUUCCUGAACAGGAAGAAGGACUACAAGGACGGGAAGUUCUCCCAGUUCGUCUCCAACGCCGCCGACAUGAAGCUCAGGGAUGACCUUGAGAGGCUCAAGAAGAUCAGUUGAAUUCAGUAAAUCUUUGGGGUGUUGAUACACUACUGUGCAACUUCUAUGGUAUGUGAGUUCCUUCUAUUGAUGCAAGCAUUGACACAAUAUGUCAUGUGCGGGGAGCUGGAGCUGGGCCAAGGGAGCAAGCAGUGCUGCUGGUUACUUGGGGCCAAAUCGAGUAGGAUGGCGCACCAUGGCAUGUGGCGGCCUAUUUUGCUUCCAAGAGCAGUACUGUUUAUUUGAAAUGAGAUGUACUCGUCUACUGCCUAGUAAAAAAUUGAAUGAUUGUCAUGUACUGUCUAUGAUGUAGUGAGCUGUAGGAGUGAAAUGAAAUUUUAUCUGUUGUUGUAUGUGUUAUUUUCCUGUAAUGUGUUGCGUACAUUUUACUUGAACAUUAAAUUCUCCAGAAAAUGUUCUUAC